GACGAACGCUGGCGGCGUGCCUAAUACAUGCAAGUCGAACGCACAGUUUAUACCGUAGCUUGCUACACCAUAGACUGUGAGUUGCGAACGGGUGAGUAACGCGUAGGUAACCUGCCUGGUAGCGGGGGAUAACUAUUGGAAACGAUAGCUAAUACCGCAUAAUAUUAAUUAUUGCAUGAUAAUUAAUUGAAAGGUGCAAUUGCACCACUACCAGAUGGACCUGCGUUGUAUUAGCUAGUAGGUGAGGUAACGGCUCACCUAGGCGACGAUACAUAGCCGACCUGAGAGGGUGAUCGGCCACACUGGGACUGAGACACGGCCCAGACUCCUACGGGAGGCAGCAGUAGGGAAUCUUCGGCAAUGGACGAAAGUCUGACCGAGCAACGCCGCGUGAGUGAAGAAGGGUUUCGGAUCGUAAAGAUCUGUUGUAAGAGAAGAACGGGUGUGAGAGUGGAAAGUUCACACUGUGACGGUAUCUUACCAGAAAGGGACGGCUAACUACGUG
rnacentral:rRNA from 1 species